AUAUUAUUAUAGCACGUGAGUUGUCCGUGCAGCACGUGAGUUGUCCGUGCAUAUUAUAGCGCUUGGGCUGAAGGAGCCCCUCCAGAGUCUGUAAACACCCCCAGUGAUCGCAGGUACCUAUUGAGCGUGAGUGCCGAGUGAUUUGGGAGGAUGGAGUGACUGGGAGGAAUGAGUUUGGGAGGACUGAGUGAAAUGAUACUCUGAGUGUAUGCAUAUGAUUUUAUCACUAAGUUGCAUCGCAUUGACAUGCACACAUGACAUACAUGCAUAAAGAUGGAUUUUUUCCUCAUGUUAUACGAUAUUACAUCAUUCAUGAUUUCUCACACAUGGUGACAGAUAGGCAUAGUGAUGCAUUUGUUUUAUACGGGUUAUCUGGAAAGAAAAUGACACAUCUCAUUUAUUAUUGAAAGGAUUUCGGAAAAAUUAUUGUUUCUAAACUUAUUCAUAUUUUUGGCAACUUCGGUAAACAAUUUGGUUUUUUUUAUUGAUGUAGUUGAAAGGAAGAAUUAUUAUUUUUGAAAUCAUGAUUUAGCUGAGCAUUUUAUCUUUGAGUUACUUCUUGCAUUAUUUGUUGUACGUGGUUAUAGACUAUUGUGGACUAUUGGUUUUGGACCCGACCUUGGUACAAGCUCGUCACUGCUUUCAACCUAAGGUUAGGUUUGUUACUUACUCAGUACAUGGGGUCGGUUGUACUGAUACUACACUUCUACACCUUGCAUGCAGAUGUUGGCUGCUGAUGUUGAUGUGUUCGAUGGGAGCGGGAUUUGUAGAUGUAUCUGUGUUCCGGUUGUAGUUGCCUCUUGUAUAUGGUAGCCUUAGAUUCAUAAAACUCUGUUUAUGUACUCUUCAAACAUAUGAUGUAUUUAUUUCUUACCAGCUUCGUAAACUCUAUUCUUAGAAGUUCGUUAUUUGUACUACCAGUUCUUGGAGAAUGUAUAAGAUUUGGUUAUUUUCUUUUACUUAAUUGUUUUGUAAAUUACAUUGGAAUUGGAUAGUGAAUAGUUGGCUUACCUAACGGGUUGGGUUAGGUACCAUCACGACUAGUUGGCUUUUGGGUCUUGAGUUUUUUUAAGCAAUUACACCAUCAAUUGUUAAACCUAAAUACAUAAAUCUAGCAAUAUUCAAUACGCUAAACAAUUUAUAUGCUAAAAAAUAUAGACAUGAAUUCACAAGAGUAACACAUAGCUAAAUUUAAAACCCAAUAUUUAGACAAGAAUUCACAUGUAUUAUAGCAAAAUUAAUAUAAAACAAAUACUAAACAACAUAUUAAAUCUAAUAAACAAAAUAUAAUCACAAAAUUCAAAUAAAAUCACAACCCUAAGCAUAUAGAUACAUGUAUCCACUUGUAAAAAAAAUACCUGAAAAGUGGACUGCCGUCGUUGCCGCUGCCGGAAUGGAGAGAGUGUCGCCACCGCUAGAGUGGGGGAGUGCCGCUGGAAAGUAGACUCCCGGAGGGACCUCUAUCACAGUGAAACGAAAAGAUUUGAGAGGAGGUGCGGAGGGGAGAGAGAAAAAAAAAAAAGAGAAGAGAAGGAAAAAUGGGUAAGGGUUGGGUUUUUUUAAAAGAAUUUCGACCGAAUCGGUCGAAAUUUUGUCUGACAGGAUGAGCCUCAUUUUAUGUUAAGUUUGCGACCAAAUCGGUCAUAAUAUUUAAUUAAUAAAUAUAUUUUUUUGGUUUGCGAUCAAAUCGGUCGCAACAUUUAAAUAUAAAAUAUUCCGACGGAAUUAGUCGAACCUCUAAUCAACAUUAACUUUUUGACUUUUUCAUUUCCUACCGUUUUAGUCGGAUGUUUUUCUUUUUGGAUUUUUGCACCAGAUUUUGCGAUGAGUAUGGUCGGAACAUGGUUGAAACAUUUUAAGAUUUUUUUUUAAGUUUCCGACCAAAACGGUCGAAAACUUCCGACUACUCUUUUCCGCCGGAAGAUUUCGGUCGGAAUUUAGCAUUUUUCUAGUAGUGUUUAGAUUUUGACAUGUGAUUUUAUUUUUGUAUUUUUUGUCACGUGUAGGGAUGAAUAUUUUAUAUUUUGGUGUUUGUUUUAGAAUUAGCAAAAUCAUAUGGUUUUGAAAGUUAAGGAUUUGGUGGAGACGGGACUCUUUGGGUGUGUCCAACAAUAUGUAACGAAGGACAAAUUUUGGAGAUGCGGUAUAAACAUAUAGCCUGUUUUAAAUUUUGGCCAUACUUUGAAAAUCAGCUUAUUUGAAAAGUACUUUUUUCAAAAAUGAUUCUCAAAGUAUUUUUUGUGAGAAAAAAUUUAUAUUUUGCUAAUUAAUUUGAAAAGUAUUUUUGAACAGCAAUUAGUAUUUGACCAAAUUUUAGAAAAGUACUUCUAAGUGUAUUUUUAUUUUCUACAGUGCUUCAAAAAGGUAAUUUUGGAAAGAAGCUAUUUUUUCUGUUUUUCAAAAACUGGCGGGGCUUCUACCUAAAAUAAUUAUACAUGGAAUUAUAUUGAUAGGUGGACCUCUCACAUGCACAUGUAUAUUAUAUAAGUUGUUGAUGUGGAAUUAAGAUUUUGGUCACCUUGAAUAUUAUUAUCUACAAAUAUUAUCAUAAUUAGUUAAGUUUUGAUAAAGAUUUUAUAAGUUGUUGAAGUAGAACAUUGAUUUUCUUCAAUUUAUCACUUCUACAGGUCAAGGGAAGAUUUGGUUAGAUAUUGUAUGGGUAAAAAAUUAUCUCUAAUAUGAUCAAACCAUGUUAACAUUGAGGCAUUCACAGACUGUUGUGUGUCAUCAAUACGACUCCAAUGAAGACCUGCCCAAGGUCGAAGUGGUUCCAGAAACUAUGAAGGUCGCGGUCGAAGAGUCAGCAAGGAUUAAGGUCGAGAAGUCGUCAUAGAUCAAGAUCGAGGUUGAGCACCCUAGACAGAGUUAUAAAGGCUAGUUUUAAGAUGUGACACUAAAGAGAAUUUUCUAGUGGAUAUUCUCUGCACAUGUACUGUUAGGAUUUCUAGGAAUAUGUUCCUUAUAAAUAGAAAGAGACAUAAUGAUAGGGAAAAUGAGAUAUUCACUUGUAAGAAAAUACAUUGACUUUAUAGAGAGAAUCUAACCAUAGUACAAGCAUACGAAAACAACAUUUUUACUAAGAUUCUUGUCUAGCUUUUCCACUUGAUCCAAGAACAACCUGAGCGUUCUAAGGCUCAUCAAUCAUUCUUCAUUGUCAGAAAGAACAUCCACAGUUCCCACCAUUUUUGGGUAACUCACAUAUUUUUAUUUACUUAAAUGUCAUUCAUUGCUAUUUAGCACUAUUUAAUGCUAUCUUCCAUCUCUUUGGACAAUUGAAUAUUGUUGUUAUUGCUCACAUUCACUACCAUUUGGUAAACUAUACACAUUAUAUGUCAUAAAACCAAUAACCUUAUCUUUUGGAGAUUAUUAUUAGCUAAGAUUAACUCUUCUUUAUUUAAAUCUAAUUGGUUGGACCAAAAUCUAUAUUGUAAUGACUCGGCCGGUCGUUUUGAGUAUUUUAGCCCAUAUCCCCUAUUUAUUGCGUUCUCUACGCUAUAUUAUAAUUUUGUUACUUGCUGGGAUAUUUGGUUUUGGUUUCGGGUGAGUUCCGUGGUGAAAUGGGACAUAUAGUCAUUAAGUUAGAGCUUUAAGUUGAAAGACUUAACCGUACUUUGACCUUUGUAUAGAUGACUCCGGAAUGGAGUCUUUACGGUUCCAAUAGCUUUGUAUGGCGAUUUUGGACUUAGAAACGUGUACGGAUGUUGAUUUGGAGAUCCGUAGGUCAUUUCGACGAGAAUUGGCAAAAGUUGGAAAUUUAAAGGUUUGGAAGGUUGGAAAGUUUGACCGGGAGUUGAAUUUAUUGAUAUUGGGGUCGGAAUCCAAUUCCAAAAGUUGGAAUAGGUUCGUACUGUCAUUUAUGACUUGUGUGCAAAAUUUGAGGUCAAUCGGAGUUGAUUUGAUAGGUUUCUGCAUCGAUUGUAGAAGUUGGAAUUCAUUUGGUUUCAUUGGGUUUGAAUUGGAGCGCGAUUCGUAUUUUUGAUGUUGUUUGAUAUGAUUUGAGGCCUUGACUAAGUUUGUAUCAUGCUUUAGGACUUUUUUUAUGUUCAGUUGAGGUCCGGGGGCCUCGGGUGGAUUUUGGAUGUUUAUCGGAGUGGAAUUUGACUUGGGAGAUUGCUGAAGUCUGCUGAAGUUUCUAAUCUUGUUUCCUUCUAUUCGAUCGAGAUGUUAGGUCUGCGAUCCCGAAGGGUCUUUGUGGGUUGUUGGGUUUUUACUCUUUGUGUUCGCAAAGAGAGGGACGCGAUCGCGGAAGUAGUGAAGCUUGUGCUUCGCGAAUGCGUGGAGUGGAUCGCGUUCGCGUACACGGUAGUGAGGCAGCUAGGUCAAGCAAAGUUGUUCUUCACGAUCGCGUGGGCAUGUCUACGAUUGCAUAGGUCUGUUUAUCAGUGAACCGCGUUCGCGUGCGAAUUCCAUUUUUGGGGGCAGCUUUGUUUUGUUCUUCGCGAUCGUGAGGGUUCCGCAAUCGCGAAGAGUAAUCACUGGGCAAAAGUGUUAAAAUUCCAAAAUGAGGGUUUGAAUCCAUUUUUGGUAUUUUGAGCUAGAGACCUCGAAUUUGGGAGAUUUUUGAAGGGAUUUUCAAGGAGUUGAUUGGGGUAAGUGAUUCUAACUCGGCUUUAGUUGUAUUACAUGAAUCCAUCGUUAUUUUUUUCAUUUAAUUGGUGAUUGGAGUUGGAAAAUGGUGAAACUUCUUAGGCCGAAUUUUGGGGAUUUGAGUGGCGUUUUGGUGUCGGAUUUGAGUAAAUUGUUUUGUGGUUGGACUCAUUAUCGUAUGGGUGUUUGGAUUUUAUAAUUUUGGUCAGGUUCCGAGACGUGGGCCCGGGUUGACUUUUCCGGUUAACUUUUUAAUUCUUUUCACAUAUCAUAAUUUUAUUGUUUGAAUUAGUUUCCUAUAGUUUAUAUUUAUAGUAUGAAGUUAUUUUGGCUAGAUUCGAGCCGUUCGGAGUUGGAUAAUCGAGGGAAAGGUCUACUAGUGGAUUGAUUUAGCGUGAUUGAGAUAAGUGACUCGCUUAACCUUGUGAGGGCGAAUUACCCCUUAAGAUUUGUGAUUGAUUGUGAUAAUUGUGAUAUGUGAAAGCCGUGUACGCAAGGUGACAAGUGUGUACAUGGGCUAAAUAUAAAAAUUACCGGUUUUAGCUAUGUAGAUUCCUUUCCUGCCCUAAUUGAGUUACCUCAACAUGUUAUAGUCAUCAUUUCUAGUCUAUCUCCACAUGUUUACUUGUCUUAUUCUCUUAUAAGCUAAUUGCCCUACAUGAUUAAUUGAAUUUCUUGUUUCUUUUAUUCCGUAUUCAUUAUUUGAUCGUUGAACCCUUUACGUGAAGUUGUUAAAUUAUGGAAUAUCUGGUUAUUGAAAUUGGUAUUGAGAUAUAAAGGCCAUGAUUCACAUUGAGGCAAAGUGUUAAGCUAUGAAAUACCAUUCUGUUGGGUUGUUCCUUUCCGGUUAUUAUUGUUGAGAUUCUUAUGUACAUUGUGGUUGGGCCAUGAGCUCUUUACUAUGAAAAUACUGUUAUUGUUUGGUUUCUCUAGUAAGUUAUGAUAUUGGGCACUUGAGGUGCGAUUUGUGAUACGUUGUGAUAUUGAUACACAUGCUGUGAUAUAAGAUUUUGAGUUGAAACGCAUGUGGUGAGAUAAGGUGGGCUUGAUACGCGUGGCUGGUGGGGGAACUACUAGAAGUCAUGCGGUGUGAUAAGGUGGGCUAAAACUAAAUGUAAAGACUCCCGCGGUGAUAUAAGAAGAGAUUGUGAUUUACUCUUGUGAUUUGAGACUAUGAGGCAGUACCUCGGUAGUGACUCUUAUUUGCAUUUCUCCAUUGUUGCACUUGUCUUUGGUUGUUGUUUCCUUAGCAUACUACUAUUUGUUUCUCCGUGUUGCACUAAUUGCUUUAGUUCCAUGUAGCUAUAUGCUAUUUGUUGUUUCAAUUUCAUUACUAUCAAUAUUACACUGCCUUAUAUUUGUUCAGUCUUUUAUUUAUUCCAGUAGGGCCUUGACCUGACUUCGUCACUACUAUACCGAUGUUAUGCUUGGCACUUAAUAGGUAUCGUUGUGGUGUACUCAUGCUAUGCUUUUGCACAUUAUUUUGUGUAGAUUUAGGUACUUCCUACCAGUCUGGGCGUCAGUGAGUAGAGUGUAUGCGUGGAGACUUCAAGGUACACCUGCCAGCGUCUGCAGGCCUCGGAGUCCCCCUCCACCUGGAUUAUUUUAUUUCCUUGUCCUUAUUUAGACACUAUUAUAUAGAUAUAUUUAGUAUAACUUCAUAGAGCUUGUGAGUUAUAUUUCUCUGAGUUUUGGGAGUUGUACAUAUUGAGUUGCAGAUUUUAUUUUAUAUAAUUAUUGAAGAUUUGAGACUUUAAAUUAUUAUUUCAGUUAUUCUGCAUGUUUUUGUUAGGCUUACCUAGUCUUAGAGAUUAGGCGCAGUCACGACAUCCUACAGAGGAAAAUUGGGGUCGUGACAAGUUGGUAUCAGAGCUCUAGGUUCAUAGGUAUUAUGAGUCAUAUCUUCGGGAGGCUAUAGAGCUGUUAAGAAAAGUUUCACUUCUUUGAUUCCUUAUCGUGCAAAUUUGUUGACUUCGAAAUUCUAAAUCUCUAUCUUUUUAUUUUCUCACAGAUGGUGAAGACACGCACAACUGGAUCUGAUGAUCAAACACUCGCACCCCUACUAGAGCCGAGAGAGGCCUGGACCGGGGUAGAGGCCGAGGACGUCAAAGUGGUACAGCCAGAGCACCUGCACGAGCUGCUACAGAGGAGCCACCAAUAGCUCUAGUUGGAGAGUAGUCACCUGACACGCCUGUUACUUCCCCAACACUUCAGGAGACCCUCGCCCAGUGUUUUAGCAUGUUCGGCACUUUAGCUCAGGCGGGGUUGAUUCCACUUGCUCCUGCCACAUCUCAGGCCGGGGGAGGAGCACAGACUCCUGCAGCCCAUACUCCAGAGCAGCGAGUCCAGGUUGACUAGGUCCUAAAGGUCAUACCAAUGCAGCCGGUUGUUCCAGUUUAGCCCGAGGUUAGGGUAGCAUCCUCUUAAGGGGAGCAGCCCAGGCUCGAGAGGUACAAGAAGUACCACCCUCCUACUUUCAGCGGGUUGGCUUCAGAGGAUGCCCAGGGUUCUCUUGAGAAGUGCCACUGUAUCCAUCGUACUAUGGGUAUUGUGGAGUCGAGUGGGGUUGCUUUCACUACGUUCCAGCUUAAGGGGGCGACUUAUUAGUGGUGGCGAACGUAUGAGUUGGGUAGCCCAGCCGAGGUAGUUUCACUCACCUGGGCUCAGUUCUUAGAGAUGUUUAUGAGGGGGUUUGUUCCCCAGAGUCUUAGGGAUGCAUGGCAUUCAGAGUUUGAGUAGUUGCGCCAGGGUUUUAUGACCUAGCAUGCAGCAGCCUUGGUUACUAUUAUCAGAGAGCGAGUUCGUCAAUUUAUCUAGGGGCUCAACCUUGGUAUCAAAUUCAUCAUAGCCCCAGAGUUGGAGAUGGAUAUCCUAUACCAGCAGGUAGUGGAGAUCACUAGCGUAUGUGGACCCGGGAGAGAGAGGAGAGGGAGGCCAAGAGGCCUCGAGAUUCUGGCACAUAUAGUGGUGUCCAUGCCCUAGUUGCAGCCCGUUAUGGUAAGGGUUGUGUGAGCCCCCUGUUCAUUUAUCACUUCCAGCUUCCAGUAGUAUUCUAGCCACUCCCAGGCCUCAAGUUCCUCAUUAUGCACUGCCACUAUGUAAUGCACCUUCUGCACGGGGUGCUUUCAACGAUCAGUUCCGAGCCAGUUCCUGCAUCCACGUCCUCCGAGGGCUUAUUUUGAGUGUGGUGACACUCAUCAUAUGGUGAGGGAUUUCCCCAGACUCAGGAAAGGUGUACCUCCACAGACUACUCAGCCCCCACGUAUACCACAGGGCCCUCAAGCUUCUCAGGCCAUGGUUACCGCGCCAGUUGCCCCUUUACCUGCACAGCCAGCCAGGGGUGGAGGUCGGGCAGGUAGAGGUCUCCCUAGAAGGGGGAGGCCGAGCCAGAUAUUAUGCUCUUCCCGCUAAGACGGAGGCGGUUGCAUCUGACUCAAUUAUCACAGGUAUUGUUCCAGUUUAUCAUAGAGAUACAUCCAUCUUAUUUGAUCCAGGCUCCACUUAUUUCUAUGUAUCAUCUUACUUUGUUCCAUAUUUGGGUAAAUCCCAUGAUUCUUUGAGUUCUCAUGUCUAUGUGUCCACACCUGUGGCAGAUUCCAUUAUUGUUGAUAAUGUGUAUCACUCGUGUUUAGUUGUUAUUGGUGGUUUUGAGACCAGAGCUCAUCUAUUGUUGCUCAGUAUGAUAGAUUUUGAUAUUAUCUUGGGUAUGGACUGGUUGUCGCUCUAUCAUGCUAUUCUUGAUUGUGAGGGAUUAUCCAGAUGUAUUUCGGUAGUGAGGAAUUAUCCAGACGUAUUUUUGGCGGAUCUUCCGGGCAUGCCGCCCGACAGGGAUAUCGAUUUUGGUAUUGAUUUGUUACUAGGCACUCAUCCUAUUUCUAUUCCACUAUAUCGUAU
rnacentral:lncRNA from 1 species